UUUCUUCUGAAACACUCUGUUCUCUCGAUAAAACCAGCUUUUUUUGCUGAAAAGGGCACAGAUUUUUGGCUCUUCAUCCCAAAGUUUUUAGGUGAAGAUGGAAAAAUACAAGCAGCGGUUAAGACCAUGCUUCGACAUGAUACUUGCCUGCCUUUUCCAAUGCCCUAAGCCACUUCACUGCAGCUUCCUUUGGAACCCCGCCUUCUUUAGAUACAAUUUCUUCAAAUGCCAACAGCACAUCAGAAGGCAUUUUAUCGGCAGAGCCUGCAACAUACACAGCUGCCCCUUCGGUUAAUAGAUUCCAUAUCUUAAAGCUUUCUUCUCUCAUUUUAUGCUGCACAUAAACCUUCUGUUGCUGGUCUCUGGAGAAGGCAGCCAAAAAACCGCCACCUUUUUCUUCAGAAAGGACUCCACCCUUUUGUGAAUGCAACAACCAAAAAUCUCGGUAUAAGAAGUCAUUUUCUUCAUUUCUACAACCAAAGAAGAAAAG
rnacentral:misc_RNA from 1 species